rnacentral:tRNA from 1 species
CCCCAGGUGGCACAGUGGUAAAGAAUCUGCCUGCCAAGCAGGAGACCUGGGUUCGAUCCCUGGGUUGGGAU